UCCCUGGUGGCCCAGACGGUAAAGUGUCUGCCUGCAGUGCAGGAGACCCGGGUUCGAUUCCUGGGUAGGGAA
rfam:Ovis aries breed Texel chromosome 10, whole genome shotgun sequence.